AGAGUUUGAUCAUGGCUCAGAUUGAACGCUGGCGGCAUGCCUUACACAUGCAAGUCGAACGGUAACGCGGGGCAACCUGGCGACGAGUGGCGAACGGGUGAGUAAUAUAUCGGAACGUGCCCAGUAGUGGGGGGAUAGCCCGGCGAAAGCCGGAUUAAUACCGCAUACGACCUACGGGUGAAAGCGGGGGAUCGCAAGACCUCGCGCUAUUGGAGCGGCCGAUAUCAGAUUAGGUAGUUGGUGGGGUAAAAGCCUACCAAGCCGACGAUCUGUAGCUGGUCUGAGAGGACGACCAGCCACACUGGGACUGAGACACGGCCCAGACUCCUACGGGAGGCAGCAGUGGGGAAUUUUGGACAAUGGGCGCAAGCCUGAUCCAGCCAUGCCGCGUGCGGGAAGAAGGCCUUCGGGUUGUAAACCGCUUUUGUCAGGGAAGAAAUCUUCUGAGUUAAUACCUCGGGAGGAUGACGGUACCUGAAGAAUAAGCACCGGCUAACUACGUGCCAGCAGCCGCGGUAAUACGUAGGGUGCGAGCGUUAAUCGGAAUUACUGGGCGUAAAGCGUGCGCAGGCGGUCUUGCAAGACAGGUGUGAAAUCCCCGGGCUUAACCUGGGAACUGCACUUGUGACUGCAAGGCUGGAGUACGGCAGAGGGGGAUGGAAUUCCGCGUGUAGCAGUGAAAUGCGUAGAUAUGCGGAGGAACACCGAUGGCGAAGGCAAUCCCUGGGCCUGUACUGACGCUCAUGCACGAAAGCGUGGGGAGCAAACAGGAUUAGAUACCCUAGUAGUCC
rnacentral:rRNA from 1 species